AGAACUAAUGAGCUUGUAUUUGUGUGCACUGUACCUGUACGUUUUUUGGAUGCAGCAUGCUAAACAACCUUGCUAGCAUUAGUUACUAACUGUCUUGUCCAGUUAUGAUCACUUCUCGCUCAGCGUAGUUGCAUCCAAAAAGAUAAUGUUAUGAUUCCAAAACAACACAAAGUCUGAAAGCAGCCUAUGAUAUCCCAGUGGCUAUGGAAAAUCUUUUAUAUACUGUCUAUGGUGCAGUCCACCUCAUAGCCACCUAUGCUGUGAGUUUAAUGAGAUGUGCAACAGAUUUAAAUCCUUGAACCCACACACAUCAGUGCCGCAGUGUGCUCCAAAGCGCAGGCUGGGCCUGACUGAGCCUUCAUGAGUACAUCCACAGUAUGUUCUUUCCAUCACAGCCUUAUUUGUAUGAGCCGGUCUACAAGGCACAGAGAGGUUUGAAAAGAAAAUUAGGACAGACAGAACAAAGCUGCUGCUUCUACAAAUGAGCUCUUCCAUGAAUGCCUUUCAGAGCGUUGUGAAAGUGAAUGGAUGUUCACAUUGAUUAUCAAAAAUAAAUCCCAUAGUGAGCGUGAAGCCAUAAUAAUGAUAUGUAAUACAGGCUGUUCUAUUAUCUUCGCAGAUGCUUCUUGCUGCUAGGACAUCAGAAAAGUUUGCUCACUGACUCCAGCCCUGUGAUGAAGAGGAGCCACCGUAGCUAGAGUCAUGCGCUUGAAUUGGUUGACUGCAAUUUUCAAUCUACUGACAUCUAGUGAAACAGGGGUAAAAAUCCAGCAAGGACCUGAUACACGAGCUGAGAGAAGCAUCUACUGUUCACUGAAGCUUCAUCAGAAACAGUCUCAGCCUUGAUGGCUGUCAGAAACCAUUCUCAGGAAAUGGAGGAAAAGGCUGAGGCUAACACAGAGAGACAGAUAACUGUCUGUCAGGCUGUGCUGCCCAGCUAUCAAGUUCCAACUAGGAACUCAAGGGUAAUGUUCUCUGCAUUUUAACUGUCCUAGUUUAAGCCAUUAUAAUUAGAUUGUAAUUUAUAUUUAAUGUUUAUUUUAUUUAUUGUAUUUUUAGGUUAUUUCUGGUUAAUUAUUACCUCAUUUUUAAAAAUGCUGUAUUAGAUUUUAUUGUGGUACAUAUGUUAAAAUAUUUGUUUUUAUAUUUGAUGUUUUUAACCCACUUUGUAAGAAAUGAAUUUCCCAACUUUGGGAUAAAUAAAGUGUAUCUUUUUACAUAUUAUCUUACCUGGCAAGUUCACCUU